rnacentral:lncRNA from 1 species
AGCCUGGCGCAGCUCUGCCGGCUCUCGGUGCGCCGCGCCGCCGGCCGGCGCGGCCUGGCCAGGAUGGCCGAGCUGCAAAUCCCGCCCCGGCUCAUCCGCUACCUCUGCUACGACUGACGGAGCCAGGGAGAGCCGCAAUUCCCGGGAAAACCCGCGGGACCGGGAGAACCCUGCUGCUCUUCUGCCUCCCCCCAGGCCCUUUAAUUUCAGUUCAGGCACUGCUGUAAAUAGGAACUGCCAGGGUUUGUCCUCCUCUCUCUCGGCUUUCUUGGAAUUUCCCGCGUGGGAUUCCCUCAUUUUCCCGGAUUUCCUGGGUGGGAUCCAGCUGGAGGGGAGGGAAAUGGGAUAAUCGGGGAGUGGGAAUCAUUCCAGCUGGGAAUUCCUUGAUCGGGAGCGGCUCUGAUCCCAUUUCUGAUCCCAUUUUUCCCUGCACAGACCCCUUUGAUCCCAUUUCUGAUCCCACUUCUGAUCCCGUUUUUCCCAUUUUUUCCCAUUUUUCCCUGCAGAGACAUCUCCGAUCCCCUUUUAUGAUCCCGUUUUUCCUGGUUUUAUCCCAUUUUGAUCCCAUUUUUCCCUGCAGAGACCCCUCUGAUCCCAACUUUCCCGUUUUUAUCCCCUCACCCAUCCCCUUCUGGAUGAUCCAGGACCCCUUUCCCUGCUGGCUGCAGAGGGAUUGGGAGGGAAAAUCCUUGGAUUCCCAAAUCCUUGGAUUUGGAUGGGAUCCCACCCUUGGGAAUAACUCCAGGGACAGCUGUGAGCCCGGCUGGGGGCAAAUUAAUUCCCUGUUAAUUCCCUAAAUGAAUUCCCUAAAUUAACAAUUCCCUAAAUGAAUUCCCUAAACUAACGAUUCCCUAAAGGAAUCCCCUAAAUGAACAAGCUCAGAGCUAAUUAGAGGUACUGCAGCUCAUUUAUUUAGGGAAUUUUUAGGGUUUUCCAGGAGCAUCCAGAGGCUUUGGAUCAACACCAGGAAUGCUGCUGGGAUUUAGGAGCACUCCAGGCACCAUCCUGGAAUUCCAGCUUGGAAAACUGGGAAUGACCUGUGGGCUGUGGCCUCUCCUGAUCCAUGAAUUGCUGGGAAUAAUUCCAUUUAGCCCAUUAAUCCCAUCAAUCCCAUCUAACCCAUUUGUCCCAUUAAUUCCAAUUCCAAGCCAAUCCCAGUUUAUUUGAUCCCAGCUGGAAUUUUUUGGGAUCUUCCCUGCAUUUUUAGGAGCACCUGGAUCUCCUC